UCAUGACCUGAGCUGAAAUCCAGAGUUGGACGCUUAGCAGACUGAGCCACCCAUGCGCCCCUCUUUUUUCAUUUCCUUUUAAGCUGAGGCUUGAAUGCUACCUCCAGGUUGUCUCUCAAUUUUUCUCCCUUAUCCUGAAGCUCUGCAUCAGUUUUUCCCGCUUCUUGACUUCCUACAGCCCCUUUACCUCUGGGUCGUUGAUAGAAAGCAGCAAUGCUCCAUAUUUCUGGCUAUUUCACUUAUCUUUUGCUCUAGGCAAACUUGCUUUAUAAGAACCUAGAUGUUCUCCAGUGACAAGUCAGUAGGUGAUUUGUUUUUAUAAAAUUCUUCACAGUAGGCUUUGAUGGCAAGACAUACCGAUGAGUUCAUAAUAUAAUCGGAUGGACACACACUGAAUUUGCUCACUACUUCCUCCAAGCAUAGAGAACGUCUAUCUCAGAAAGCUGGCUUUAGCUGUUUCUAUCCAGUUUCACAGCCACUGGGAGGGCCAGGGAGAGGGGGAUGCACAGGGAGCUUGAGCAAGCGAUGAAGGAAGUUGUGGCGGCCAAGACUGGCUUCUGUGGCAUCAGCAGUCACCUGGAAUGUAAACUUGACAACACUCUAGACGUGAACCAAAGAGGGACACGGGCAGACAGAGAAGGACGCAGAAAGGUUACUGCCUGUGCUCCCUUUCUGGAACAAACAAACAACAUUUGAGUUGCUUUGACAUGUUGGAGAAACUCCAGCAAAGCAGAAGAAUUCAAGAGAGAGGAAAACCGAGGGUGUGAGAAGCUGAAACUGACUAAGAACUUCAGGUACAGAAAUUUCGAGUAACAGCUGGGUCACAAGACAACCAACAUUGAAAUCCUCCAAGAGCUGAUUAGAAACUUGAAAAAAAUAAAAAGACGCACUGUUCAAGAAAGCCACUAUCUGAAAUAACACAGGCUGUUAACUCUAAAAUGAACUUGAGACCUGACAAAGCGGAAGGAGCAGCGUUUUUCAUGCGGACAAGGCCAGGCCGCCUUUGGUCAGCAGCACUUGCGCUAACUCCUGACUCUCACUACAAGGAAUUGACUCAUCAGAGGAUGAUUCUGCUCCUGGAGCAAGGAGACUUGAGAACGGGACUGUGAAACAAAGAUUGCAGACCAGUCAUGGUGGAAGUGUAUGGAAGCCACUGACCAAACUGCCACAAUUUUGACGCUAAAAAGGGAAAAGGAAUUGGAGUGCCUGGGUGGCUCAGUCGAUUGAGCAUCUGACUCUUGAUUUCCACUCAGGUGAUCCAAAGUCAGGAGGGGAGUAACCUGUAGCUCCCCGAAUAGCAUGGAGAAGGCAACUUCCGAUGGACAGACAUUUCCAGAGAGAAUGCCAGCCUCUUCCCUUGCCAAUCUCCUCUCUGUCUGGCUCUUACUCACCACUUAAAGACGAGGUUGAGCCAGUCUCCAAUCACAGCUACCCAGAGGAGUUUAAUGCCCACAGCUUCGCGAAGAUGGAACCAGAUGGGGAAGAGGACAUAGAAGGCAUUCCUGAGGUCCGCAAUCACGGACACCAAGAUGAACCAAUCCUGGGAGUCCUGGUAAUUCACCUGGAGGUAGUGCGUUGACUGGAUCCCAAAGUCAUGAAGAACAUUCAUUCCUUUCUCCAUCCUUACUCCGUGGCCCCUCGGGCACCCUUCAGCUGAGCCCUUGCAGUUAUUACAGUCUUGGUGGUGAUUGCUCUGCUAUCA